UACGUAGGGUGCAAGCGUUGUCCGGAAUUAUUGGGCGUAAAGAGCGUGUAGGCGGCCCGGUAAGUCCGCUGUAAAAGUCCAGGGCUCAACCCUGGAAAGCCGGUGGAUACUGUCGGGCUCGAGUCCGGAAGAGGCGAGUGGAAUUCCUGGUGUAGCGGUGGAAUGCGCAGAUAUCAGGAGGAACACCAAUAGCGAAGGCAGCUCGCUGGGACGGUACUGACGCUAAGGCGCGAAAGCGUGGGGAGCGAACAGG
rnacentral:rRNA from 1 species